GCGCUCUAGUGGACUAGUGGUUAGAGCGUCUGCCUUGGAUGCGGGAGGUCGUGGGUUCGAUAGCUAAUAGCUGCCUCGCUUGGCGCU